rnacentral:rRNA from 1 species
UACGAAGGGGGCUAGCGUUGCUCGGAAUCACUGGGCGUAAAGGGUGCGUAGGCGGGUUUUUAAGUCAGAGGUGAAAUCCUGGAGCUCAACUCCGGAACUGCCUUUGAUACUGGGGAUCUUGAGUCCGGAAGAGGUGAGUGGAACUCCGAGUGUAGAGGUGAAAUUCGUAGAUAUUCGGAAGAACACCAGUGGCGAAGGCGGCUCACUGGUCCGGUACUGACGCUGAGGUGCGAAAGCGUGGGGAGCAAACAGGG